rnacentral:rRNA from 1 species
UACGGAGGGGGCUAGCGUUGUUCGGAAUUACUGGGCGUAAAGCGCGCGUAGGCGGACCUGCAAGUCGGAGGUGAAAGCCCGAGGCUCAACCUCGGAACUGCCUUCGAUACUGCGGGUCUCGAGUCCGGGAGAGGUGAGUGGAAUUCCUAGUGUAGAGGUGAAAUUCGUAGAUAUUAGGAAGAACACCAGUGGCGAAGGCGGCUCACUGGCCCGGUACUGACGCUGAGGCGGCGAAAAGCGUUGGGGAGCAAACAGG